rnacentral:rRNA from 1 species
GACGAACGCUGGCGGCGUGCUUAACACAUGCAAGUCGAACGAGUGGCGAACGGGUGAGUAAUACGUGAGUAACCUGCCCUCUUUUUGGGAUAAGCCUUGGAAACGGGGUCUAAUACCGGAUAAAGGGGGAUGGGCUCGCGGCCUAUCCGCUUGUUGGUGGGGUGAUGGCCUACCAAGGCGGUGACGGGUAGCCGGCCAGGGAGGGUGACCGGUCACAGUGGGAGUGAGGUACGACCCAGACUGCUACAGGAGGCAGCAGUGGGGGAGAUUGAACAAUGGGCGAAAGCCUGAUGCAGCGGCGACGCGUGGGGGAUGAAGGCUUUCGGGUUGUAAAGCUAUUUCGCUAGCGAACGGGUAGGUGGAGAAGAAGCGCCGGCUAACUACGUGCCAGCAGCCGCGGUAAUUC